GAUAAGGUGAUACUUAGGCCUUGGUAAUUGGUGUGAAUGGGCUCAGCUGAUGAAUGAUCAGCUGAGCAGGUAUAUGCUCUAUUUAUACGCUUGAGCCACUGCUGAAUGACAUUUGCCUGAGGAAAACCCAGCCGGGUCGAAACGUUGUAGCACAUAAUAAAUGUAUGGGAGUUUUUAGCAGAGUGCGGGCAUUUCAUUCUUUUUGAGUUCUAGUUCCAUUUGCCCUGCACCUCACCGGUGGGGAUGUGCACACUACUACAACUACUCUGAGAGAAAGUUUCUCAACCGUUUUAGAUUCUCUCAUUCAACACCGGGGUAGACUACCGAGUUUCAUCUGAGCUCAACGAGUGACAGGUUUUCCCAAUCACAGGCUCUGACUAAGCCUCCGAAAGCCUCUGGAUCUCUGCAUGCGCUAAGGGAGAGGGUAAUGAGUACAAGUUGUGUGUCAUGCCCAGCAUGUUAUUAGACAGUGGCACAACAGACAUUUGACGACCGAAGGUUGGAUGGAUACGGAAGUUAGGAGGCGGGACUUAUUCUGGAGAGGUCUAUAAUUUUGAACAGUGAAAACACCGAGAUGCAUGGUGCUCAGGAUCAGCACCAUGACUCCAGGAUCAUCAGCCAACAGACUCCACACAGACUAAACACUGAAGCCAGAACUCUCUGUCCCUAAAGGCUGCUCA